UACGUAGGGGGCAAGCGUUGUCCGGAUUUAUUGGGCGUAAAGGGCUCGUAGGCGGCCAACUAAGUCAGACGUGAAAUCCCUCGGCUUAACCGGGGAACUGCGUCUGAUACUGGAUGGCUUGAGAUUGGGAGAGGGAUGCGGAAUUCCAGGUGUAGCGGUGAAAUGCGUAGAUAUCUGGAGGAACACCGGUGGCGAAGGCGGCAUCCUGGACCAACACUGACGCUGAGUGAGCGAAAGCCAGGGAGCAAAGCGGG
rnacentral:rRNA from 1 species